rnacentral:rRNA from 1 species
UACGAAGGGGGCAAGCGUUGUUCGGAUUUACUGGGCGUAAAGGGCGCGCAGGCGGCCAUUCAAGUCAGGCGUGAAAGCCCCGGGCUUAACCUGGGAGGUGCGCUUGAGACUGAGUGGCUUGAGUACGAGAGAGGUGAGUGGAAUUCCCAGUGUAGAGGUGAAAUUCGUAGAUAUUGGGAAGAACACCGGUGGCGAAGGCGGCUCACUGGCUCGUAACUGACGCUCAUGCGACGACAGCGUGGGGAUCAAACAGG